rnacentral:misc_RNA from 1 species
UCUUUCUUUCUUUCUUCUUCUACUCUUGAUGAUAGGUUCUUGCUAUCUGGUUAUUUCCUCCUUGACACAAGAACAUAUACAAGUGUUAAGCAUACAAAGAACUCAGAAAAGUGAAAAAAAAACAAACCCAAGUCUGAUUUAUUUGUUCAUUCUUGAUACAUGAAAACUGAAUCUCAUCCUCUAGAAUGAGAGAAGGAGGGAGAGAGAUUGCAGAAGAACCGCGGGAAUUGAGAUUCGAGAGGGGUAGAUUAUUUUUAGCAGCAGCUGAAAAAUAGACUCUCUUUUUAGUUUUUACAGUUGUGAUAAUGCGGUUUAGCCUUUG